rnacentral:rRNA from 1 species
UACGAAGGGUCCAAGCGUUAUCCGGAUUUAUUGGGUUUAAAGGGUGCGUAGGCGGAUUAAUAAGUCAGUGGUGAAAGCCUGCAGCUUAACUGCAGAAUUGCCAUUGAUACUGCUAAUCUUGAGUACAGUUGAGGUGGGCGGAAUGUGUCAUGUAGCGGUGAAAUGCUUAGAUAUGACACAGAACACCGAUUGCGAAGGCAGCUCGCUAAACUGUAACUGACGCUGAGGCACGAAAGCGUGGGGAUCAAACAGG